rnacentral:miRNA from 1 species
AGGAGAAAUGGAGUGGGCUGAG